AGGAAACAAUUGUGGGCUAAAAUAAGGAAAGAAGUGUGGGCUAAAAUAAGGAAAGAAGAAGUGUGGAUAGCAAGUUGUCCUUUAACAGCCCCCCUCAAAUUGAUGCAGGUUAAUCAACAAGCAUCAAUUUGCUACUUAGCAAGCAAUGUCGAUGACGAGGGAGAGCCUUGGUGAAGAUAUCAGCAACUUGUAAGUCAGUGGAAAUAUGUGGAAGAGUGAUAACACGAGCUUCAAAGGUUGCACGGAUAGAGUGACAGUCCACUUCAAUAUGCUUUGUGCGCUCAUGAUAGGCAGGAUUGGUCGUGAUCUGAAUAGCACUUGUAUUAUCGGCAUGUAGAGGUGUAGGAUCGGUCUCAGAAAAAUCUAACUCCACAAGCAAACCUCGAAGCCAAAUGAUUUCAAAACAAGCAAGAGACAUCUCCCGGUACUCAGAUUCCGUAGAUGACUUAGAGACUCUGUCUUGCUUCUUACUUUUCACAAACAUCUUAAACUAAAACUCCCAACUAAGAUAGUUUUUUUUCCAUUGAAACGAACAAUAGAAUAUUCUCCAGACAUUAUGAUGACAGAAAUAGCCUAGGAAACAAAAAAAAAAAAAAAAAAAAUAUCGUCAAAGAGCCUAAAUCUGAUAACAAACCUCCAAAUAAUCGAAGAUCUCCAAGAGCCUAGAAGCGAAGAAACCUAAAGAAAACUCCAAGAUCACACCACAGAUGUGUUGUCACAACCACCAGAAAAAAAAGAAGAAAAAGAACCGAAAAACUGGGCUAGAGUCCUAGAGCCCCUAGGGCUAAAUCCGAGAGCCCCUAAGGCUAAAUCUGAGAGCCCCUAAGGCUAAAUCCGAGAGCCCCUAGGGCUAAAUCCGAUAGCCCCUAGGGCUAAAUCCGAGAGCCCCUAGGGCUAAAAUCUUUGAGCCCUUAGGGCUAAAUCCGAGAAAACCCAAAGCAAAACUAGAAAGCGUGUAAACUCUAGGUUCAGAACACAAGCUCUGAUACCAUGUCAAAAUAUUGUAUGAAUGGCCGAAUACCUUGGCCUUGAGUUUUGUAUAUUAUAUAUAGACUUUACAAGGAUGCUAUACAUGGAAAGCAAAUAAAAGCAAAUAAAUUCCCGCAUGAUUCUAGCCCUAUACAUGUAAACUAUAAUCUCUCAAAUAAUAUAUGCUAACUGUACAGAAUAAUAAAUGGAGAAAUAAGGAAACAAUUGUGGGCUAAAAUAAGGAAAGAAGUGUGGGCUAAAAUAAGGAAAGAAGA
rnacentral:lncRNA from 1 species